GUUAUUCUGCGGGGUUCGUCACCGACUUAUGAUGAUUGAGCCAACGUCGUUGAGAAGGGAGACCGAUGCCGUUUUACAUGCCAGUGCGUUCCCUCAUUGUUAGGGAAACGCCAGAGGCUGCGGCUCUUAAAAGGUCACCCACCUGUUUACGCAGGUUCAAUCGCGACGCCGGAACGGCUUCUGCGGAACUCCC
rnacentral:other from 1 species